GUUCUGUAGCUCAGACGGUAGAGCAGCCUCCAAAAGAGGUCGGUCGCGGGUUCGACUCCCGCCGAACA
rnacentral:tRNA from 1 species